GGACCCGCGGCGCAUUAGCUAGUUGGUGAGGUAACGGCUCACCAAGGCGACGAUGCGUAGCCGACCUGAGAGGGUGAUCGGCCACACUGGGACUGAGACACGGCCCAGACUCCUACGGGAGGCAGCAGUAGGGAAUCUUCCGCAAUGGACGAAAGUCUGACGGAGCAACGCCGCGUGAGUGAUGAAGGUUUUCGGAUCGUAAAGCUCUGUUGUUAGGGAAGAACAAGUGCAAGAGUAACUGCUUGCACCUUGACGGUACCUAACCAGAAAGCCACGGCUAACUACGUGCCAGCAGCCGCGGUAAUACGUAGGUGGCAAGCGUUGUCCGGAAUUAUUGGGCGUAAAGGGCUCGCAGGCGGUUUCUUAAGUCUGAUGUGAAAGCCCCCGGCUCAACCGGGGAGGGUCAUUGGAAACUGGGAAACUUGAGUGCAGAAGAGGAGAGUGGAAUUCCACGUGUAGCGGUGAAAUGCGUAGAGAUGUGGAGGAACACCAGUGGCGAAGGCGACUCUCUGGUCUGUAACUGACGCUGAGGAGCGAAAGCGUGGGGGAGCGAACAGGAUUAGAUACCCUGGUAGUCCACGCCGUAAACGAUGAGUGCUAAGUGUUAGGGGGUUUCCGCCCCUUAGUGCUGCAGCUAACGCAUUAAGCACUCCGCCUGGGGAGUACGGUCGCAAGACUGAAACUCAAAGGAAUUGACGGGGGCCCGCACAAGCGGUGGAGCAUGUGGUUUAAUUCGAAGCAACGCGAAGAACCUUACCAGGUCUUGACAUCCUCUGACAACCCUAGAGAUAGGGCUUUCCCUUCGGGGACAGAGUGACAGGUGGUGCAUGGUUGUCGUCAGCUCGUGUCGUGAGAUGUUGGGUUAAGUCCCGCAACGAGCGCAACCCUUGAUCUUAGUUGCCAGCAUUCAGUUGGGCACUCUAAGGUGACUGCCGGUGACAAACCGGAGGAAGGUGGGGAUGACGUCAAAUCAUCAUGCCCCU
rnacentral:rRNA from 1 species